GGCCCCGUGGCGUAAUGGUUAACGCGUCUGGCUUCGAUUGCCGAGGACGCACCAGAAGACUGCCGGGUAUGUGCACGAAUACUCGGGCACAGAUUCUUCCCAUUUUAACGCUGGUCCAAAUAGUUCAAGUCCGACCGAGGCCU
rnacentral:tRNA from 1 species